UACGUAGGGACCAAGCGUUGUUCGGAUUUACUGGGCGUAAAGGGCGCGUAGGCGGCGUGUUAAGUCACUUGUGAAAUCUCUAAGCUUAACUUAGAACGGUCAAGUGAUACUGACGUGCUAGAGUGCAGAAGGGGCAACCGGAAUUCUUGGUGUAGCGGUGAAAUGCGUAGAUAUCAAGAGGAACACCUGAGGUGAAGACGGGUUGCUGGGCUGACACGUGACGCUGAGGCGCGACAGCGUGGGGAGCAAACAGG
rnacentral:rRNA from 1 species